GGGAUGGAUGUCGAAUUCUAACCAGUAACCUUUACAGAGAUUGUGGUAAGUUUAACGAACAUUCCUCUUGGAACGCCGCUGACUACCAAAAAUCUACUUUUUUCAAAAAUAAAAAAAUUAAGUAAACAGCAGAAAAAUAAAAACAACGGUACUAUACCAUUUGACGGGUUCUGUAAGGCAGAGCCGGUCCUGAGGCGAGGCGGAUGAGGCCUGCGCCUCAGGCCAAAACUGGAAGGGGGCCUCACUUCGCCCUCUUUUUUUUUUUUUUUUAUAGCAAUUAAAUGAAAAAAUUGGAAGGAGAAAUCAUUUUUCUCUCCCCACAGUCACUAACCUACUGUGGCGGAGCCAUAAUUUAGAGGUUGGGAGGGAGGAUAGUGAAUGUUAAGUAGCAGCCGAGAGUCCCAGAAUUGCAGUUGCAGUUUGCAGAGAUGGAAGAGGAAGAGGCGGGAAGACGACUGAAAUCAGAAUGAAAUUUUUGGCCCUUUUGUUUGGUGAUGGGCCUCUUUUUGUUUAAUGAUAUUUGGCCCAAAUCAACUUGUUUACACUUUAAUGCUUCAAUUAUCUUUGAUUGCUGGAGAUUUCUGUUUAAGAACUCAUAUUUGGCUUUUAUUGAACAAAAACUCAUUCCUGAAAAUUCCACAGCAAUUUUAAUUUGCUAAACUUCUCCUCUUUCUUGAUUCAACUGCAAUGAUUUCUUGUUUCGCCCCCUUUCGUUUAUAAUAUUGGAUUUUCCUGUUUCUUGAUUUUUUGUCGUUUAUGAAAUCAAAAUCGUGUUUUUUUUUUUUUUUUUUUUUAUCUUGAUGCAUGCGUUUGUGUGUAUUUAUAUUUCUUAUUGCUUUAAUCAAGCAGAUAAUUACACAUACUAUUAUAUAUUUCCUGUAAAGAUUAAUGUGCACACAAGAAAGAGCUUUCUGAAAGUUCUUUUCUUUAUAUUUCUGUGAAAUAUUGGUAAAGUUGAUGCUUUAGGUGGCCCUUUUUUUUAUUUUUUUAUUCUUACCCGUUUUUCUUUAUAGAACUGGAUAUUCACAAAUCACAUUUGCCUCUAUCUCUUGUUCUUUAAAUGGAUAGGGUGCGUGGGGUGGAUUGGUGAUCAGAGUCUUUUAUGGUAAAUACAGUUUUUCUUUAUUCGGAAAUAAUUUAUCUAUCCAUGAGAAAGUGAAGAUUACAGGAAUCAUAUUCUGAUUUGUUUUAGCGGUAAAAGGGGAAAACUGUAAGUUUUGGGUUUCCAAAUUUUGCCGUUUUGGACUUAAUGGAAAUUAUAGUUUUUAAGAGGAACUUAUGGGAGUUCCUACUUAUUUUUUAUGCUUAAUUGCUUAUUUUAACUAGACAGAGAGUGCAAACAGAAAAAAGAUUGCUAGUAGGAUGAACGGAUUGAACAGUUCUUGCCAUUUUAAAUGGGUUUUUAACGUGCUUGGAUUUUAAUCAGUAUUUUGUUUGUUGUUUUAUUGUUUAGUUUUAAGUUAACGAUCAGUUGCAUAAUAUACCAUUGAAUUUUAUAUUUACGUUGACUUUGGGGGGCCUAAUUUACAAAGUUCGCCUCAGGCCCCGAAAAUAACAGGACCGGCUCUGCUGUAAGGGGCUUGUAUUUUCCGUAUUUGCUUUUCCAUUCAAUAUGUUCUUUACACUUUAUAGCGUUGGCAUACCCCCGUUAACUUUUGAAUACAGACCAAAUCUUGGCCUGCCUCAUAUCCCCGCACCAACAGGAAAGUGCCCGAUUUCAAAAAUCAAUUCAAAAUGACAAAGAAAUACAUAAAUGAGAGAGAAGAGGGGGGGAAAUUGUUUAUGUUAGAAAAAAACAGGGGGAGGGGAGGUGAAGACAACGACCCAUGACUACGGUUUGUAGAGAAAUUGAAGAAAAAAACAAACGAAGACAAAAGUAAGAGAAAAAUUCAAAAUCUGCUAAUGUUUGUAUUGAG
rnacentral:lncRNA from 1 species